UCUGGGAAAGAGAGAAUGGGAGCCUCCCGCUGCAGUUCCAAGCCGAGGAGGAGCGGAACGGAAGCCAACGAGGCGCUCCGCCUCUUUCCCGGCGUGGGACACCCGCGCGCCCCCAGACGCCGCUGUCCCCCGCCUGUGCCGGCGCGCCUGCUUGAGGAAAGAGCGCCAGGUAACAUCCCCAGGGCUAGUAAGGUGACUGACUGCCUCCCUGGAGAGCCUCCCUGGGUCACCGGUAGGGGCUCGAACUAGGUAUUUCGCCGUUGGUAAGAACUUGAGGAACAAAAGGCUUGUGGUGAUGGCUACCUUCUGCUGGCAGGAGUUUUGAAUCUUGGGAAGCUGCCAGACAGGAAGAUGGUGAUUGGGGCCGUCGCUGCAUUUGUUCCUGGAAAGCCUGCACCUGUCUAACCCUUGGCAGGCCCAAGGUGGCUGUCGCCCAGCACAUAUGGCACAGGGCUCACUGACAAAAAUGCUUUGCGUUUUAAGCACCUUUGCCACCGUGGGGGUAGGCAAUGUGCCACAGACACCACCCUUGGCGCCACGAGGCUCUCUGCUGCCUCUGAUUUAUUAUUUUUAGAUUCUUCUAAUUAGGAAUAAAAUAAUAGGAAGCAGGUAUGCUGCAAA